rnacentral:tRNA from 1 species
UCUAAGGAUUACCCUAGCUGGCAAAUUCGUUUGUCACGUGGGUUACUUAGCAGAAGCAGCAAACAAAGCUGCACAUUUGAGCCAGACUGUCCUCUUAUCUCUUCAGCAUUACAUCAGACCUGCCGGUCUGGACUGGGUCGGUAGCUCAGGUGGUUAGAGCGCACGCCUGAUAAGCGUGAGGUCGGAGGUUCAAGUCCUCCUCGACCCACCAAAUAAUCAUAAAGUCGGGUAAUAACGUAAACAUGCGAUCUUUAUAUGGGGCCUUAGCUCAGCUGGGAGAGCGCCUGAUUUGCAUUCAGGAGGUCAGGAGUUCGAUCCUCCUAGGCUCCACCAUUACCAAUUUGAGUGCUAAACAGUAUUACUGUUUAGCCGUCCAAUUGGGCGAUUUUGACAUCGUGAAGAGAGAUACAAAUAUAACUUCUUUUGAGGUUGACGUGUGAGUUAACCUCUCACUUAGUGAAGCACAAUUGUGUGGACAGUCAGUGUACAAUGGUCUUUUCCUCGACCGUGCGCCGAUAUGCUUUGUGAAACAGAAGGAGUUAUCCAAGUCAAAUACACUAACCAAGCAUUUUUCAGAUUAAUCUGAAUAAAAAUGCGGGAAAGUAUAAAAUUAUGACUUUUGACCAGAAAAGUGGAGCCACCGAACCAGCGGUUCCUUGCAGCUAGUCUGACUUUUUCU